rnacentral:rRNA from 1 species
AGUGAACGCUGGCGGUAGGCCUAACACAUGCAAGUCGAACGGCAGCACAGUAAGAGCUUGCUCUUACGGGUGGCGAGUGGCGGACGGGUGAGGAAUACAUCGGAAUCUACUUUUUCGUGGGGGAUAACGUAGGGAAACUUACGCUAAUACCGCAUACGACCUACGGGUGAAAGCAGGGGAUCUUCGGACCUUGCGCGAUUGAAUGAGCCGAUGUCGGAUUAGCUAGUUGGCGGGGUAAAGGCCCACCAAGGCGACGAUCCGAAGCUGGUCUGAGAGGAUGAUCAGCCACACUGGAACUGAAACACGGUCCAGACUCCUACGGGAGGCAGCAGUGGGGAAUAUUGGACAAUGGGCGCAAGCCUGAUCCAGCCAUACCGCGUGGGUGAAGAAGGCCUUCGGGUUGUAAAGCCCUUUUGUUGGGAAAGAAAAGCAGCAGGUUAAUACCCCGCUGUUCUGACGGUACCCAAAGAAUAAGCACCGGCUAACUUCGUG